rnacentral:rRNA from 1 species
UACAGGGGGUGCAAACGUUGCUCGGAAUUAUUGGGCGUAAAGCGCGCGUAGGCGGCUACUUAAGUCGGAUGUGAAAGCCCUUGGCUCAACUGAGGAAGUGCACCCGAAACUGAGUGGCUUGAGUACGAAAGAGGGUCGCGGAAUUCCCGGUGUAGAGGUGAAAUUCGUAGAUAUCGGGAGGAACACCGGUGGCGAAGGCGGCGACCUGGGUCGAUACUGACGCUGAUGCGCCGAAAGCGUGGGGAG